UUCUGUGACGUAACUUUGCUGUAUUUUUUCCACGUAAAAAUUGCCUUGCGUGACAUGGUAUCAUUGAUCUUGUGCAUUUGCUUUCUUAUUUCUUAUUCAUCCAGCUGAAUAAAUAAAACAUUUUUAAAACCAGUGAGGGUAAUAAUGUUCUAACUACGCCAUAACAUUUAUACCAAAAUAAGAAGUUAAAACGCUAUAGUUAAGAGUUUUUAUACAAUCAGUCUAGAGUGUUAUCAUGCAUUUAUUGUUCAUUAUACUGUACGUUCUUCAUAGUUACAUAAUAUAAUACAGACCUAACUUUGAAAACUCGAUGGAAUUAGAAUAUAUAGGAAUCGUUAUUCAUAGGUUUAUACAAACAUUCUUGCUCACGUCUGCACUGUAUUUUCACCAAAUAAAUUACGCAGUUGUUCAAGUUGAUGUUAGACCUGUGAUAACAGAACGCAUUGCAUGCUAUUCGUGAUAAAUUGGGAGACAAUACGCACUUGAAAAGGAAGAACUAGAUUUUUGCAUAAACCUAUAAACAGCAACAUAGUUGAGUUGUGUUAUGUAUUCCCAUGGCAUGUAGUUUCCAAAUUUUGAAUGAAUUCUAUGAUUUCUUCAUUACAUCAUUUCCCUGUUCCUGAAUUUUGUUUUGAGCAGUUUUUGUUCAUCCAGUUAGUAACUGCAUUAGGAUUCUUUUUAAAAGCUCUCCUGCAAGUAUGCGUACAAACUGUGAAAAUAAUAGGAAUGCUUUUCACUCCAAAUAUCUCUUCAACAGUCUUGAUGAUUCUUACUCCAGGACCAAACACUGGACCAUCACAACAGUCGCAGAUCCCGGGACU